rnacentral:rRNA from 1 species
UACGGGGGGGGCAAGCGUUGUUCGGAAUUACUGGGCGUAAAGGGCUCGUAGGUGGCCAACUAAGUCAGACGUGAAAUCCCUCGGCUUAACCGGGGAACUGCGUCUGAUACUGGAUGGCUAGAGAUUGGGAGAGGGAUGCGGAAUUCCAGGUGUAGCGGUGAAAUGCGUAGAUAUCAGGAGGAACACCGAUGGCGAAGGCAGCUCGCUGGGACGGUACUGACGCUGAGGCGCGAAAGCGUGGGGAGCAAACAGG